UCUAAGACUCGAACCCAGCCGCACCACCUCUCUACCUCGAUAGUUCCUGGGUUUCUCUCUCGGCGUUCCUUUCCCGAGCCACAACUUCUGAUCACUUUCCCCUUGUUUGAAACCCAAGAAAAUUAGCUUGUUUUUGACGCCAAUCAAACAAAAUUAGUUUUUUUAAACGCCAAAUUGCCCACUAAUAUACAAACCUUUACCUUAUCUCACAAAAUCUUAUGUCUCAAAUUUCAAAUCUCAAAUCUAAUAUCAUUUUUUACUAUCUUCGAAGCAAUUGUAUUAGGAUGGCUGAUUUCCGUCUCUCAAAUUUCUGUCAAUCUUGGUUAACCUGAAAACGCUAAAGUAAUACUUCAAGUUGGGAAAUAUGACACGGACAUAUAGCAAAGUUGAAUCUGCGGGCAGGCAAGUUCAAUAGAAGAAGAAUCCAAAUCAUUACCUAGAAGUUUCUUUUUUAAUUCUCUUCAAAUUUUGGAUCUACCCUUUGUUCAAUAGAAGAGAUUAAAGCAAUUUUUGGUUAAUUUUGGGGUUAUAGUAGAAGAUAUAUAUACCCCACUUGUUUUGUAUCCUUCUUGUAUUCAUACAGUUCAUUAUUAAAGUGAGAUUUUAUCUCAAGAUCA